GCUGCUCUGUUCCUGGUUUAGAGGAGAAGGGGGAGGCAGUCGCGGCGCAUGCUGGAGGCUGGAGCUUGAGUUGGCUCGCCUCGCUGCUGCGGUUCCUGGCGGUGAGGGAGGCUACAGCACAGCCAGAAUGGUAAAAAGCUGGCGGAAUAGGUUCAUUAUCCCGGGAUGUACCGUCAGUGCUUUCCCGCCCCCGCACCGACCCGGAGGGGUCAUGAAGUUCCUGGCUCCCACCCAGAGUGCGUGUCUCUCCCUCCGGGGGUACCUCAAAGCGUCAAGAAGUUCCCAGGGAACGGGGUCAGGCGCCCAGGGUUCCAGGGAGAGUUUGAAGCAGGCUGCGGAGAAAAAGCGGCGAGGCCGAAGAAGAGGCUGGGUUCCCGUGAUGGAGGCUUGGCACUUGCCCUCAAAAAAGAUGGCGCGGAAGACCUCACGCGCCUCACGCGACCUGACCGCAGGACUCCUGCGCGGCUCAUAUCCCCGCACAGGGCGGCCGAGAGGGGAGGAGGAAGCAUGGACUGGAGGGCGGGUGUGGCCGGGGAGGCUCUUGGCAGCUGUUGUGUGGCUGCGCUGCUGGAGCUGCCGGGCGGGCGGGAUGCUGUACCCCCGGAGGAGACCCUCGCAGGAGCGCCAGGAGCUGGACGGCCUCUGGAGCUUCCGCGCCGACUUCUCCGACAGCGGAUACAGGGACUUCGAGGAGCAGAGAUACUGGGUCUGACUAUGUUAACCAGGCUGGUCUGGAACUCCUGGCCUGAAGCCAUCCUCCCACGUUGAUCUCCUGCAGCUCUGAUUACAGUGGUGAGCCAGCAGAUACUCGUCAGGCCUGAGCCGCAGGCGCUGCCCAGAGCUGAGUCUGGGAUCGGGAGGACGGGACAGUUUAGACAUUCUGAGGUCAGCUCUGCGCAGGUAUCCCAAGGGUUACUUUGUCCAGAACACAGACUGACUUCUUCAACUACACGAGACUGGAGCGGUCUGUGGUUGUAUACACAACACCAACUACCUGCAUCGAUGACAUCACCAUCACCACCGGCGUGGAGCAAGAUAGUGGUGAGGGCUUCUGGUGGGAUCCUCCCUCAGCAGGGCCCGGGGUGGCUCUGUUUGUUCCCUGUUUGGAAAGCUCUCCCAGGAAAAAGGUUCUUUCAGCAUCUCUAAAUCCUCACAGGUUCCCAUCCACCUACAAAGCUAAAAUGCAGGCUGUCUCAGCGGGCACUAAAAUCCAGGCUGUCUGAGCGGGCACGGGCUCCCGAGAUCACUCAUGUGGUUGAUCUCUCUUGGAGAAGAGGGUCUGGCCUAAGGUCACAUAGCUCAGGGUGGCAGUCCUGUCCCUUCCCCACGGUGCUGCUCUCACUCUAGCUCCCCUUGAUACACAUCGUGUUCAAGGAACAGGCAGCUUUGGGGGGCUGGGUGCGGUGGCUCACAUCUGUCAUCCUAGCUCUUUGUAAGGAGGACUUGGUAGGAGGAUCACUUCAGGUCAAGAGUUCAAGACCAGCCUGGGCAACAUAGCGAGACCAU